UGCCCAGCAACUCCUAUUCCUACCUCCUCGCGGUACUGGCCGGGGUACGAGUAACCUUGGGGAAGAUCGGGUAACCAACCCCCGGUGGGAACUUUGGUCGUAUGCUGACAGGGAAGG
rnacentral:ribozyme from 1 species